AACGAACGCUGGCGGCAGGCCUAACACAUGCAAGUCGAGCGCCCCGCAAGGGGAGCGGCGGACGGGUGAGUAACGCGUGGGAACGUGCCCUUUGCUACGGAAUAGCCCCGGGAAACUGGGAGUAAUACCGUAUAAGCCCUACGGGGGAAAGAUUUAUCGGCAAAGGAUCGGCCCGCGUUGGAUUAGGUAGUUGGUGGGGUAAUGGCCUACCAAGCCGACGAUCCAUAGCUGGUUUGAGAGGAUGAUCAGCCACACUGGGACUGAGACACGGCCCAGACUCCUACGGGAGGCAGCAGUGGGGAAUCUUAGACAAUGGGCGCAAGCCUGAUCUAGCCAUGCCGCGUGAGCGACGAAGGCCUUAGGGUUGUAAAGCUCUUUCGUGGGGGAAGAUAAUGACUGUACCCCAAGAAGAAGCCCCGGCUAACUCCGUGCCAGCAGCCGCCGUAAUAC
rnacentral:rRNA from 1 species